UACAGAGGUCUCAAGCGUUGUUCGGAUUCAUUGGGCGUAAAGGGUGCGUAGGCGGCGCGGUAAGUCGGGUGUGAAAUCUCGGAGCUUAACUCCGAAACUGCAUUCGAUACUGCCGUGCUUGAGGACUGGAGAGGAGACUGGAAUUUAUGGUGUAGCAGUGAAAUGCGUAGAUAUCAUAAGGAAGACCAGUGGCGAAGGCGGGUCUCUGGACAGUUCCUGACACUGAGACACGAAGGUCAGGGGAGCAAGCGGG
rnacentral:rRNA from 1 species